UUCGACUUCUAGCUCUUUGCGCCUUCUUCCCAUUGGUGAUAUUUCUGCCUUCCCGCCAUGCUCUUGCCACCUACAGCCGCUACAUCUCUCUCAACGCAACAGCUUCCUGUGAUUCUUAGGGUUUUUAUGAUGACUUGUAAAUGCUUCAUAAAUAAUAAUUGUUCAUUUCUAUUUAUUUGAAUCGAUAAUUGUAGAGUAAUUCUUGAAAACAUUUUGUCGCCCAAUGUAAAGCUCUGUGGAAAUUGUUUGCUUUUUGAAAAAGAGAUAAAAAUUUAUUCCAGAAACCACAAAAAACCCCAAUUAAAAAUAUUUUAGCAACCACAAAAAUCUACAAUCCUCAAAUCUUGCAAAAGAUGUUUUUUUUUUUUCAACAAAAGGAUCAAGUUCAUAGGAUUCUUGGUAAUCAUCUCUGUCUGUGUUUGUUUCUUUUUUAUUUGGAUAUAUGUAUAUGGAAACUUGUUUGUGUGUAGAGUUUUGUGUGGGUUCUCUGAUCUUUGAAACAAAAACAAAAAAAAUCCCAGCCCUCUCCACUUGUUUGCUAUAUUAUUUCAGUUUUGUGUUUUUAAUUGACUGUUAGUUUUUGAUUGAUGACUUUGUUCUUGUUAUCGAUCUAGGGUUCUUGGUCUUCUUGAGUUCGUUGUUUUAGACAUAGUGGAAGGUUUUUGUCUGCUGAAAAAUGGUUGUGCUUAGGAAUUUUUGUGUUUAUUUCUUUAAUUGCUUGUGAAUUGAUCACUACAGAGUUAUUAUGUGUUGAUCUUAAAAGCUGUCUGGAAAUUUCUUACUCUUUAAAAAAUAAAUAAAAAUUCUUUGUAGCAACAAUAAAAAUCCUCAAAUUAAAAUCUUUCUACAAAACACGAUUGUCUUUCUCUGUGUAGAGUUUUACGUACUCUUUUUGGUCAUUGAAAAAGAAAAAACAAUUUCCCAACAAUUACUGAGAUAGUUUCUGACCCAAUGUAAUUUGUUUGCUCUUUGAAAAAGAAAUAAAUUUUAACACAGAUUUGCUAACCUUACAGAAAUCUUCAGAUCUCAGAAGGUACAAUUUUUUAAUGUGCUCCAAUCUGAUUUUUUUUUUGGUAUUUACAAAAUUCUUUUCGCUUUUUAUAUCUCUGAAGGAGACCAUCAGCCUCAUCACAACGCAUCUGUCUCUCUUUUGGUGCAAUCUUGAUAAAAAAAAACUCAUCAUUUUAUUCAUUGUGAAAUUUUAUCAAUAUACUGUUGUUUUGUUUUCAUUAUAUAUUUGUUUCUUCCUAACAUUUUGUUACUUGCAUUUCAUUUGAUAAAAAAAAAAAAGAGUUAAAAUAUUUGUAUUUCUAGAGUUCCUAUAUUUGUUGCAUAUAUUUUUAUACUCGUGUAAGAAUUUGUUAACACACACCAUUCUAUAUACAUAUUCUAUUUCUCUCUCUCAACGACAGCAUCGCUCUUAGUGCAUUCUCGGUAAGCAUCUUUCUCUCGCUUAUGCUGCAAUCCAAAAAUUUCCUUUUCCAAAUAUUUUCAGUCAUUAUCGACAAAGAAUCUUUAGUCUUAAGGUUUUCAUGUGUGCUGUGUAUAUUUAUGUACAGUAUUCUAUAAGUUUUUAUUAGAAAAUAUAAAUAUUUCUUUGUUCGUUUUGACAAGUAACAAUAUUUAACAUAAAUUCCCUGAUCUAAUAGAAUUUCUCAAGUCUCACAGGUUGUAACUUCAAUUUCAUGGACAUAAUUUUUUAUGUGCUCCAAUUUACUUUUUUCCUUUACCUUUAUAACAUCUAGAAAAUCUUAUCUGCUUUCUAUUUGUCAAUGAUACCAUCACCCUUAUUGUAUUCUUGGUAGGCAUGUUCCUCUCUCUUAUGCUGCAAUCUUAAUUUAUUUAUUUUUCCAUUUUUUUGGUUAUCCUGAGUGAAAUUUGUUUAAUCUAAGUUUCUUAUGUUUAUUGUAUAGUUGUUGGAAACGCUUGGGAACCCAAAGCAUUUCAAGAAUCAAAAUCGUG
rnacentral:lncRNA from 1 species